ACGUCCAUACCCCACUGAAUACACCAGUUCUCGCGAUCACCGAAGUUAAGCAGCGUCAAGCGCGUCAGUACUUGGAUGGGUGACCGUCUGGGAACACCGAGUGAUGUU